rnacentral:rRNA from 1 species
AACGAACGCUGGCGGCAUGCCUAACACAUGCAAGUCGAACGAGACCUUCGGGUCUAGUGGCGCACGGGUGCGUAACGCGUGGGAACCUGCCCUUAGGUUCGGAAUAACUCCCCGAAAGGGGUGCUAAUACCGGAUAAUGUCUUCGGCCCAAAGGUUUAUCGCCUUUGGAUGGGCCCGCGUUGGAGUAGCUAGUUGGUAGGGUAAAAGCCUACCAAGGCGACGAUCCAUAGCUGGUCUGAGAGGAUGAUCAGCCACACUGGGACUGGGACACGGCCCAGACUCCUACGGGAGGCAGCAGUGGGGAAUAUUGGACAAUGGGCGAAAGCCUGAUCCAGCAAUGCCGCGUGAGUGAUGAAGGCCUUAGGGUUGUAAAGCUCUUUUACCCGGGAUGAUAAUGACAGUACCGGGAGAAUAAGCACCGGCUAACUCCGUG